GACGAACGCUGGCGGCGGGCUUAACACAUGCAAGUCGAACGAAGUGGCGGACGGGUGAGUAAUACGUGGGAAACCGGCCCUCCUUGGUGGGAUAAGCCUGGGAAACGGGGUCUAUUACCGCAUACAGGGGGAUGGGAUCGCGGCCUAUCAGCUUGUUGGUGGGGUGCUGGCCUACCAAGGCGGUGACGGUUAGCGGGCAUGAGCGGGUGAACGGCCACAUUGGGACUGAGAUACGGCCCAGACGCGUACGGGGGGGAGCAGUGGGGGAUAUUGCACAAUGGGCGAAAGACUGAUGCAGCGAGGCCGCGGGGGGGCUGAGGGCUUUAGGGUUGUAUACGUGUUGCGGUAGCGAACGGGUAGGUGGAGAAGAAGCGCCGGCUAACUACGUGCCAGCAGCCGCGGUAAUUC
rnacentral:rRNA from 1 species